UCUCCGUUGGUGAACCUGCGGAGGGAUCAUUACUGAGUGAGGGUCUCCGGGCCCGACCUCCAACCCUUUGUGAAUCGUACUCGUUGCUUCGGGGGCGACCCUGCCGUCCGCGGCUGAGCGCCCCCGGGGUCAAUCAAACACUGCAUUCUCUGCGUCGGAGUCUUAAUGAAUUUAAACAAAACUUUUAACAACGGAUCUCUUGGUUCGGGCAUCGAUGAAGAACGCAGC
rnacentral:misc_RNA from 1 species